UACGUAGGGUGCAAGCGUUGUCCGGAAUUAUUUGGGCGUAAAGAGCUCGUAGGCGGUCUGUCGCGUCGGCUGUGAAAUCCCGAGGCUCAACCUCGGGUCUGCAGUCGAUACGGGCAAACUAGAGUAUUGCAGGGGAGACUGGAAUUCCUGGUGUAGCGGUGAAAAUGCGCAGAUAUCAGGAGGAACACCGGUGGCGAAGGCGGGUCUCUGGGCAAUAACUGACGCUGGAGGAGCGAAAGCUAGGGGAGCAAACGGG
rnacentral:rRNA from 1 species